rfam:Salmo salar isolate Sally breed double haploid chromosome ssa26, whole genome shotgun sequence.
UGCACUCACUACUGUAAGUCGCUCUGGAUAAGAGCGUCUGCUAAAUGACCAAAA